rnacentral:lncRNA from 1 species
GUGAGCCGGCUCCCUGCACAGGAGGUUGGAUGAGCAGAGAGAGCUAUCUGGGGAGCAGCAGCAGUAGCAGGAAACAGCUCCAUGCAUGUGAAUGAAGAUGUUUAUAUGUGACGAGACUGAAGCUCGACUUGUCAUCUCUAAGUGCACGUAGCUGUGGAUUCCUAGAACUGGGCAGCCCUGCUCUACAGUGCGACAACAUGAAGGCCAGCAGUCAUUGGACAACAGGGAGAAAGGAGUUCAGCACCUGUGAAGCAAAGCCAAGAAGGAUGAAAUACCCUGCCAGAAGCAACUUCAAGGAAGAAGUGGUUGCUCCAGUUCCAGGGUACACUCCUUCACAGCAGCGAGAAGUCAAGGCAGCAGGAAUCUGAAGCAGCUAGUCACAUGUGUAGUUGAGAGCCUAGAGAGAAUGAUUGCCUGCCGGACUGGUGAGCUCCAGGUUUAGUGAGAGACUCUGUCUCAAAAAUUAAGAUGGAGA